AAAACUGGCUUCUGCAGUGAGUGGCACAUGUAGAGCAACUUGUUGGCUCUUUGUGCGGAAUCAACAUCAAGAUAUUUUGGAAGCACAAUGGUUCUUAGAUCUUUGAUCCC
rnacentral:snRNA from 1 species